rnacentral:rRNA from 1 species
GAACGAGAAAGUGGAGCAAUCCAUGAGUAAAGUGGCGACCGGGUGAGUAACACGUGACUAACCUACCUCCGAAUGGGGAAUAACUCCGGGAAACCGGGGCUAAUACCGCAUAACACCGCAAGAUCAAAGGAGCAAUCCGCUUGAGGAGGGGGUCGCGGCUGAUUAGCUAGUUGGCGGGGUAACGGCCCACCAAGGCGAAGAUCGGUAUCCGGCCUGAGAGGGCGCACGGACACACUGGAACUGAAACACGGUCCAGACUCCUACGGGAGGCAGCAGUGGGGAAUUUUGCGCAAUGGGGGAAACCCUGACGCAGCAACGCCGCGUGGAGGAUGAAGCCCUUUGGGGCGUAAACUCCUUUCGACUCGGACGAUAAUGACGGUACGAGUGGAAGAAGCACCGGCUAACUCUGUG